rnacentral:lncRNA from 1 species
CGGGUGUGGCUGAUUGGCCUGGCUCCUGGACAGCCUGGCUUCGGCGUUUUGCGGCGCGAGCCCUUGAGAGGACGCGGGUCUCAUCGUCCUGCCUGCUGCCUUUGCACCCUUUCUGUGCGGACCACCAUGGACGUGCAGGCGCAGAGGCCACCUUUGUUGGAAGUGAAGAGGAACGUAGAACUGAAGGCAGCCCUGGUGAAGUCCUCCUCCCGAGUGCCCCUGUCAGCAAGCAGGCUCAAGAGGGGUCCUGACCAGAUGGAGGAUGCCUUGGAGCCUGCAAAGAAACGGACACGAGUCAUGGGUGCAGUGACCAAAGUUGACACAUCCCGUCCCAGAGGACCACUCCUCAGCACAGUGUCACAGACCCAGGGCCACACUGCAGCUCAGAAAGGCCCUAAGAAGACAGGACCUCGUGGGUGCUCUGCUAUUGGUACAGUGCUGAGGAGCCAGAAGCCAGUUCCCGCUGCUCCUGCCCAGAAGCCUGGCACAUCCACUGCUCCUGUGGUGGUAGGGAAGAGAGCUGGCAAACGCCCUGCCUGGGACCUGAAGGGCCAGUUGUGUGACCUCAAUGAAGAGUUGAAACGCUAUCGGGAGAAGACUCAAACGCUGGAACUGGAGAACCGGGGUCUUCGGGAGCAACUCAGAGAGGUCCAGGAGCAGGCCACGACCCUGGGGCAGGGAAAGGCUGCUUCAGGAGCUUCAGGGAGAGCGGCUGCAAUUGCAGGAGGAGCGGAGCACACUGAGCACCCAGCUGGAGGAGCAGGAGAGGAGGUUUCAGGCCACAGAAGCAGCUCUGUCAAGCAGCCAAGAAGCAGAAGACUGAAGCCCAGGUGACCUUACUGGCUGAGCAAGGAGACCGGCUCUAUGGGUUAGAGAUGGAGCGGCGACGACUCCACAACCAGCUGCAGGAACUGAAGGGCAAUAUCCGGGUGUUCUGCCGCGUGCGCCCUGUCCUCGAAGGGGAAUCCACUCCAUCUCCUGGCUUCCUCGUGUUUCCUCCUGGCCCUGCUGGACCCUCUGAUCCCCCGACGGGCCUUAGCCUCUCACGAUCUGAUGAUCGGCGCUCCACCCUGACUGGGGCCCCGGCCCCCACUGUCCGCCAUGAUUUCUCCUUUGAUCGGGUGUUCCCGCCGGGAAGCAAGCAGGAGGAAGUGUUUGAGGAGAUCGCCAUGCUUGUCCAGUCAGCACUGGAUGGCUACCCUGUGUGCAUUUUUGCCUAUGGACAGACAGGCAGUGGCAAGACCUUCACUAUGGAAGGAGGGCCUAGGGGAGACCCCCAAUUGGAAGGGCUGAUCCCUCGGGCCAUGCGGCAUCUGUUCUCUGUGGCCCAGGAGAUGAGCGGCCAGGGCUGGAC